rnacentral:rRNA from 1 species
GUGUCAGCCGCCGCGGUAAUACGUAGGGUGCGAGCGUUAAUCGGAAUUACUGGGCGUAAAGGGUGCGUAGGUGGUAUGUGAAGUCGUAUGUGAAAUCCCUGGGCUUAACCUGGGAACGGUGUACGAUACUGAUAUGCUAGAGUACGAUAGAGGGGGGUAGAAUUCCACGUGUAGCAGUGAAAUGCGUAGAGAUGUGGAGGAAUACCGAUGGCGAAGGCAGCCCCCUGGGUUGAUACUGACACUGAGGCACGAAAGCGUGGGGAGCAAACAGGAUUAGAAACCCUGGUAGUCC